GCCUGGCUGGCUCGGUCAGUAGGGCAUGUGACUCUUGAUCUUGGGGUUGUGAGUUCAAGCCCCACGUUGGGUG
rnacentral:tRNA from 1 species